CAUUAGCAUAACCCCACCAUUCAGGUGAAUAACCCCUCCCAGUCCUCACCAGUUAUAGGAUGCAUGGAGCUCAGUUGAAUACGCAUCCUGCUGAGCAUUUCGGACACUUGUUUGGAUGCCGGUGAAGCUCCGUCUGAGCAGCGGUUUAUUUGAUAUGGGUGAGGGUCAGGCUUCAUAUAUUAUAAUGCUGUGGAUGGUAUAGUCUUCACAUUCUGGGGGAGGUCAUUGGUGACUUAGUUUGGUGGUCUGAGCCUCAAUAAAGAAGCGGUCUGAGCCUCAUUAAAGAGGGAGUCUGAGCCUCAUUAAAGAGGCGGUCUGAGGCUCAUUAAAGAGGCGGUCUGAGCCUCAUUAAAGAGGCGGUCUGAAAUCUCAUUAAAGAGGCGGUCUGAGGCUCAUUAUAGAGGUCUGAGCCUCAUUAAAGAGUUCUGAGCCUCAUUAAAGAGGCGGUCUGAGGCUCAUUAAAGAGGUCUGAGCCUCAUUAAAGAGGUGGUCUGAGCCUCAUUAAAGAGGUGGUCUGAGCCUCAUUAAAGAGGCGGUCUGAGCCUCAU
ensembl:lncRNA